ACCUGGCUAGCUCAACUGGUGGAGCAGGUGACUCUUAGUCUCAGGGUCAUGAGUUCGAGCCCCAUGUUGGGUG
rnacentral:tRNA from 1 species